UUCGUCGUCCAUUCAUUGUAGCGCGCGAAGGCCCAACAGGGUUAAAAUGUUUUUACGUCCCGGUAUGCUUGGCCCGCGGCCAGAGGAUACUGCGCGUGCAUUUCGCCGGCGAAAAUAGAUACGCGGCCAAAAUCCCCCAUGAGUUCUUCUCGUCUUGGCUUUGGUACCGGAUGGUCGAGGAAAGCCGAGCGUGGAAUCGCAUUCCGGGGAAGAACCGCGCAUGCGCACCCCCGCGAGCGCCGCCAUUUGCAAUUUACCAUCUUAUCGCUAUAUCGAAGUGCGGACAUCCGUGCUUCCUAUAUACGCCGACAUUGGCUCUGAUACUUUACGCCGAGUGCUCGGAGAACGAGGGAGGGAAACGCACCGAGGUCUGCGCACGUUUUGAGAAAAUCCCGAAACCUUGGCGCGGUUCGACGCCGAAAAUCCCGCGAAAUUGCUUCUGCGUCUGUAGCGGCGUGCCGACCCGCCGCCUCUUUGUACGCCUCACUUCUACGUCUCACGGACGUUCGAGUAUUUUUGUAUUUACUGAGAAUCCGCAUUUACGUAGACAACGGAAGGAUAAGUAUAGAUUCGAAUUCGGUGCUUUCGCACGUAACGCGCAAUGCCCUCGAUUUUUCCCCGCUUUUGCGUAGGCCCGACCGGCUUACCCGCUCCGACAGGUGAUCGGACGAGCGCGGGCUACGAACUCGUUACACGUGCGAGGUUUUCGACUCCGGGAUCUUUUGUCACUGGCAACUUGUCGCGAGAGUGCUUACUUUAUUUCCCAAACAGUCUACUUUCGUUGGUGAUUUGUAAUUCCGUUUAUGUCGCGGUUUAUUGUACGACGACGUAAAUGCCUUAAGGAAAUUGUGCGGCCUGUGUAUGAUAGGAGAGCAUUCAUGUCUGUCAGUGUACAACGUAUGAGACUUUAGAUAUGAUCAGUUCUGUGAAUUUUGUAUCGCACUUGGAACCGCAAUGGUCUCUGCGUCAUAUUUCCCGCUUGUAAUGAGGCGAAUGAGUUUUUGGCUCCGGUCCUUGUAGAGAAACUUUCCCGUGUCCUUGGCUCUUGACAUGAGUCCAUCAUCCAAUUCUCCGGCGAUCAGAGGAGUAGCCACACUUGGCUCGGCUCCUUCCAAAAGGUCCGAACUUAUUCCCAGUCCUCCCACGAGAGAACUCUACAUCAUUUAAUCAAAUACACGAUAAGAAUGUUUAAAUGCGAUAAUAUAUCAGUAUCCUAAAUGCAGCUUAAAAGGAAUGCCCUCAUUGGAAAGAAUACCUAGAAAUUUGAAAUGAAAAAUAAUAUGCCGCGACCAAUCGACAAGAGCUCGUCGAGGUACACCGGCGAAUA